CCAAUAGCGUAUAUUAAAGUUGUUGCAGUUAAAAAGCUCGUAGUUGAAUUUCGGGAUCAGUACGCUGGUCAUGCCUUUGGUAUGUACUGGUGUUACUGGUUCCUACCUUCUGACGAACCGUCAUGUCAUUAAUUUGGUGUGGCGGGAAAUCAGGACUGUUACUUUGAAAAAAUUAGAGUGUUUAAAGCAGGCUCGCGCUUGAAUACAUUAGCAUGGAAUAAUGAAAUAGGACGUUCGAUCCUAUUUUGUUGGUUUCUAGGAUUGACGUAAUGAUUAAUAGGGAUAGUUGGGGGCAUUAGUAUUCAAUUGUCAGAGGUGAAAUUCUUGGAUUUAUUGAAGACUAACUACUGCGAAAGCAUUUGCCAAGGAUGUUUUCAUUAAUCAAGAACGAAAGUUAGGGGAUCGAAGACGAUCAGAUACCGUCGUAGUCUUAACCAUAAACUAUGCCGACUAGGGAUCGGAUGAUGUUAAUUUUUUAAUGACUCAUUCGGCGCCUUACG
rnacentral:rRNA from 1 species